rnacentral:rRNA from 1 species
UGGGGAAUAUUGCACAAUGGGCGAAAGCCUGAUGCAGCAACGCCGCGUGAGUGAUGAAGGUCUUCGGAUUGUAAAGCUCUGUCUUUUGGGACGAUAAUGACGGUACCAAAGGAGGAAGCCACGGCUAACUACGUGCCAGCAGCCGCGGUAAUACGUAGGUGGCGAGCGUUGUCCGGAUUUACUGGGCGUAAAGGAUGCGUAGGCGGAUGUUUAAGUGAGAUGUGAAAUACCCGGGCUUAACUUGGGUGCUGCAUUUCAAACUGGAUAUCUAGAGUGCAGGAGAGGAGAAUGGAAUUCCUAGUGUAGCGGUGAAAUGCGUAGAGAUUAGGAAGAACACCAGUGGCGAAGGCGAUUCUCUGGACUGUAACUGACGCUGAGGCACGAAAGCGUGGGUAGCAAACAGGAUUAGAUACCCUGGUAGUCCACGCCGUAAACGAUGAGUACUAGGUGUAGG